UGGGGAAUAUUGCACAAUGGGCGCAAGCCUGAUGCAGCCAUGCCGCGUGUAUGAAGAAGGCCUUCAGGUUGUAAAGUACUUUCAGCGGGGAGGAAGGGAGUAAGGUUAAUAACCUUGCUCAUUGACGUUACCCGCAGAAGAAGCACCGGCUAACUCCGUGCCAGCAGCCGCGGUAAUACGGAGGGUGCAAGCGUUAAUCGGAAUUACUGGGCGUAAAGCGCACGCAGGCGGUCUGUCAAGUCGGAUGUGAAAUCCCCGGGCUCAACCUGGGAACUGCAUUCGAAACUGGCAGGCUGGAGUCUUGUAGAGGGGGGUAGAAUUCCAGGUGUAGCGGUGAAAUGCGUAGAGAUCUGGAGGAAUACCGGUGGCGAAGGCGGCCCCCUGGACAAAGACUGACGCUCAGGUGCGAAAGCGUGGGGAGCAAACAG
rnacentral:rRNA from 1 species